rnacentral:piRNA from 2 species
UGUAUAGCUAUUUGCUAUGGAAAGAUAGGA